rnacentral:rRNA from 1 species
GACGAACGCUGGCGGCGUGCUUAACACAUGCAAGUCGAACGGUAAGGCCCUUUCGGGGGUACACGAGUGGCGAACGGGUGAGUAACACGUGAGUAACCUGCCUCUGACUUCGGGAUACCAGUGGGAAACUGCUGCUAAUACCGGAUAGUGAUCUUUUGCCGCAUGGUGGGGGGUUGAAAGUUUUUUCGGUCAGGGAUGGGCUCGCGGCCUAUCAGCUUGUUGGUGGGGUAGUGGCUCACCAAGGCUUCGACGGGUAGCCGGCCUGAGAGGGCGAUCGGCCACACUGGGACUGAGAUACGGCCCAGACUCCUACGGGAGGCAGCAGUGGGGAAUAUUGCACAAUGGGCGGAAGCCUGAUGCAGCAACGCCGCGUGCGGGAUGACGGCCUUCGGGUUGUAAACCGCUUUCACUCAUGACGAAGCGUAAGUGACGGUAGUGAGAGAAGAAGCACCGGCCAACUACGUGCCAGCCGCCGCAGUAAAAC